rnacentral:rRNA from 1 species
UACGGAGGGGCUAGCGUUGUUCGGAAUUACUGGGCGUAAAGCGCGCGUAGGCGGCUUUGUAAGUUAGAGGUGAAAGCCCGGAGCUCAACUUCGGAAUUGCCUUUAAGACUGCAUCGCUUGAAUCAUGGAGAGGUCAGUGGAAUUCCGAGUGUAGAGGUGAAAUUCGUAGAUAUUCGGAAGAACACCAGUGGCGAAGGCGACUGACUGGACAUGUAUUGACGCUGAGGUGCGAAAGCGUGGGGAGCAAACAGG